rnacentral:rRNA from 1 species
CUACGUGCCAGCAGCCGCGGUAAUACGUAGGUCCCGAGCGUUGUCCGGAUUUAUUGGGCGUAAAGCGAGCGCAGGCGGUUAGAUAAGUCUGAAGUUAAAGGCUGUGGCUUAACCAUAGUACGCUUUGGAAACUGUUUAACUUGAGUGCAAGAGGGGAGAGUGGAAUUCCAUGUGUAGCGGUGAAAUGCGUAGAUAUAUGGAGGAACACCGGUGGCGAAAGCGGCUCUCUGGCUUGUAACUGACGCUGAGGCUCGAAAGCGUGAGGAGCAAACAGGAUUAGAUACCCUGGUAGUCCACGCCGUAAACGAUGAGUGCUAGGUGUUAGACCCUUUCCGGGGUUUAGUGCCGUAGCUAACGCAUUAAGCACUCCGCCUGGGGAGUACGACCGCAAGGUUGAAACUCAAAGGAAUUGACGGGGGCCCGCACAAGCGGUGGAGCAUGUGGUUUAAUUCGAAGCAACGCGAAGAACCUUACCAGGUCUUGACAUCCCUCUGACCGUUCUAGAGAUAGAGCUUUC